UUCAUCAAAAUAAAAUAAAAUUAGGAACUUCUUUUUCCUAAAUUGCUAAACCUAGCAGUACCAAAGAUUACGUUUUGCUCUGCACUAACCCUGACAGUUUCAAAAUCUCCAAAAACCACUACAACAAUUCAAUCACUUAAGUGAUGGAUUUCCGAGAGAGAGGGAAGGAUUUUGUCCUGCUCUGCUUUUCGACACUGUCGUGCUGCUCCAUCUCGCAGCGCUUCUCGGCCUCUACCGCCGUGCUGGUCUUCUGAUUUCUUCCUUGAUCUACUUAUGCAAGCCGGUAAAACAUUAAGUUCAAGGAAACAUCACGGUGCAGUUUCUCCUGAAAGGCAGCUAGAUUUAGGCAAAACUUUAGGCAGGAUCCAACGUAGGGUAAGUGCAUUCUGUAUAAAGCUAGCAGUAAUCUUUUGGAUUGUUCUACUAUUUUGUUUCUAUAGUCAUAUAGAGUACUUUAACUCUUACUCGCUCUAUCUACACAUUUUUAAUGAUAAUAUUAAUAACUAUCUAUUAUUGUUUGGGCAGCAAUUUAAUUUAGUGAGAGGCCGAGUUGUUUUGGUUAGCAACUAGCUUAAUUAUUUACUUGACAACAAAACAGUAAUGCAUUAAGGCCGAGUUGUGUUGGUAAGGUUUUCUGCUGAUGCUUACUUGGGUCUGUUUUUCGUUGUUUUGUUUCUUCCAUUGUCUAUCUUAUGGUAAUUUUAUCUUUUUUUUUCUCUCUUAAUAUAUGUGCAAUUUUCAUUAACUAAAACAAAAACUAAUUCAGAUAACUCUCUAAUUUACUUCAAAUAAAUUCUAAUGACAUAAUAGGCUGGUGAAGCAUUGAUCUUUGAUUGCACAUCUCCAUUUUCUUUUUACAGAUUUCUACAUGUUGGAUGCAUAAAGCAUUAUUCUUGUUCGUGGUUCGGACUAACCAGAUGUUUGUCUCAUUUAUAAAUUUCAGUCUAUCUUUAAUUGUAUGUGUUAAUUUUAUAGUUAGAUAAAGUUUCCACUCGAUAUACUUAUUUUAUUUUUAUUUUAUUGCAGGAUAUAAUUACAUAUGACGAGAUUCAUGCAUCGAUUUUGGCUCCAUUGUUUAGUAUAUGUAAUAUUAAGGCAAACAUAUUUUUUUAUGAUUUAGAUUCUCUUUAGUGCUUUAUUGUAAUUAUUCUAAAUUAUAUUUACAUGAAUAUUUCUACUUGUUAAAUAUGUAUUUGGAUUAUUGGAUCAAUUGAUAAAUGUAUUUUUUUA